CCUACGGGUGGCAGCAGUCGAGAAUCAUUCACAAUGGGGGAAACCCUGAUGGUGCGACGCCGCGUGGGGGAAUGCAGGUCUUCGGAUUGUAAACCCCUGUCAUGUGGGAGCAAAUUAAAAAGAUAGUACCACAUGGGGAAGAGACGGCUAACUAUGUGCCGGCAGCUGCGGUAAUACAGAGGUCUCAAGCGUUGUUCGGAAUCACUGGGCGUACAGCGUGCGUAGGAUGUUUCGUAAGUCGUGUGUGAAAGGCGCGGGCUCAACCCGCGGACGGCACAUGAUACUGCGAGACUAGAGGAGAGGAGGGGGAACCGGAAGUCGCGGUGUAGCAGGGAAAUGCGUAGAUAUCGAGAGGAACACUCGUGGCGAAGGCGGGUUCCUGGACAUUAACUGACGCUGAGGCACGAAGGCCAGGGGAGCGAAAGGGAUUAGAUACCCGAGUAGUC
rnacentral:rRNA from 1 species